UAACUGGUUGAUCCUGCCAGUAGUCAUAUGCUUGUCUCAAGGAUUAAGCCAUGCAUGUCUAAGUAUGAACCUUCAUACGGUGAAACUGCGAACGGCUCAUUACAACAGUUAUCAUUUACUUGGUGGAUUGAUCUCUGAUCCUACAUGGAUACCUGUCGGUAACACCAGAGCUAAUACAUGCACAAACUCUCCGGCCUCACGGUGGAGAGGCAUUUAUUAGAUACUACCACCCUGCGUCCGCGCAGGUCGGGUGAUUCAUAGUAACCUUGCGAACCGCUCAAGCGAGUGGUGAACCAAUCGAGUUUCUGCCCUAUCAGCUUUCGUCGGUACGGUAUUGGCGUACCGAGGCCGCAACGGGUAACGGGGAAUUGGGGUUUGAUUCCGGAGAGGGAGCCUGAGAGACGGCUACCACAUCUAAGGAAGGCAGCAGGCGCGCAAAUUACCCAAUGGCAAUUCGCCGAGGUAGCGACAAGAAAUAACUGUUGCGGGCAAAUGUCUGCAAACGGGAAUGAGUGUAUUUAAAACCCACACCCGAGUAACAAUUGGAAGGCAAGUCUGGUGCCAGCAGCCGCCGUAACACCAGCUCCAAUAGCGUAUAUUAAAGUUGUUGCACUUAAAAAGCUCGUAGUCAGACUGCCGAGGGCACCCCUGUUGUGGCGCCGACCAACUCUCUGAGCUGGUCGAUUACGCCCUCAGGGCGUCCCUCCUGGACCCCGCCCGACUUUAUUGCUGGAGCCGUUCCUCCUACGGAGCGAACGCGUUUUCAGCACGGGCAUGUUCCUGUGAGCAAAUCAGAGUGUUCCAGCAGGGCGCUUUGCGCUCUCUGCAUGGUUGAGCAUGGAAUGACAACGCGGGACUCCGGUUGCGCUUUGUUGGUGGAGCCGACUGGAGGACAUGGUUAAUAGGGACAGUUGGGGGCAUUUGUAUUUCCAUGUCAGAGGUGAAAUUCUAGGAUUAUGGAAAGACAAACUGCUGCGAAAGCGUUUGCCAAGGAUGUUCCCGUUGAUCAAGAACGAAAGUUAGGGGAUCGAAGACGAUCAGACACCGUCCUAGUCCUAACCGUAAACGAUGCCGACUGGGGAUUGGAGAACGUAUCGAUCAUUAUGACUCCUUCAGCACCCUUCCGGGAAACCAAAGUCUUUGGGUUGUGGGGGGAGUAUGGUCGCAAGGCUGAAACUUAAAGGAAUUGACGGAACUCUACCACCAAUGGAGGAGCCUGCGGCUUAAUUCGACUCAACUCGGGAAACCUUACCAGGUCCAGACAUAGGGAGGAUGGACAGAUUGAGAGCUCUUUCUUGAUUCUAUGGGUGGUUAACUGCUUACUUACUUAUGCUGAAUCCCGGUAGUGAAUGUUAAUUCCGAUAACGAACGAGACCUCUGCCUGCUAACUAGCGUGGCCUAUCCUCUUGCAGGAUAGGUUCCAAAAGUCAAGCGCUUCUUAGAGGGAUUCCUGACUACAAGUCGGGUGAAACGAGAGGCUAGAACAGGUCUGUGAUGCCCUUCGAUGUUCUGGGCCGCACGCGCGCUACACUGACGGAGGCAACAAGCGUGUCCUUGACCGAAAGGUCCCGGGGAACCUUAACAAACUUCGUCGUGCUGGGGAUAGACCAUUGCAAUUAUUGGUCUUCAACGAGGAAUUCGUAGUAAUCGCGUGUCAUCAUCGCGCGAUGACUACGUCCCUGGAGUUUGUACACACCGCCCGUCGCUCCUACCGAUUGGAUGAUGCGGUGAAAUCUUCGGACCGACUAGUGGCUUGAUGGCGUCUUGCGGCGUCUCCCGUGUUGGGAAGUUGAUUGAAUCUUAUCAUCUAGAGGAAGGAGAAGUCGUAACAAGUAUCUCCCGG
rnacentral:rRNA from 1 species